CUCUGCCCUAUUUCUCCCUGUGUCUUCAGUCACGCUUCUUGCCAACGUCCUCUUCCUCAGCAAUUCCCAACCUCGCUGCCUCGACUCAAGGCUGUGCUGCAAUCCAUAGUAGCAAGACGAAGACGUCUGUUCCUGACACCAGUGAACUACUCCCACUCAAUCAGGCCCUCCCUCACCCGGGCUUUCCCGCUUCUGGCGCUCUGGGAUGUCGUCUCCACUGCUUCAGGGACUCCGGCGUCCCACGCAUCUGCCGGCCUUCGCUGGUACUGCUGACUCCUGCUCCCACUUCCUUCCCCUCUGCUGGGGGUCCCAGCUCAGAAGUCUGGUCCUCGAAGAAGCUCUUCCUGGUGCCCACCCCCAGAUUUCGAACGUUCAAGUGCAAGUGAGCAGUGAGUUUAUGUGUAUACUCCUCCCUGUAGAGCUUUUCUUCUCCCAGGCCAAACAGAGAACACGGAGUAUUAGGCCCAGGGGUUGGCACCUUCCCCGGGAUCUCCCAUCUGCCCAGAACUCAAAAAGCUGGUUUCAUGGAGAUUCUGAGUUCUGGGAACGAGGAAGGGAUAAAGAGGUCUUUUGCACUCCCAUUCAGUUCAUUUAAUUGAAAUGAUCAUCAAGCAAGUCGGAGAGGGAAGGAAUAGAGAUUGUCCAGCUUUGCCCGUUGCCCCAUAUUUGCAUGCCACUAACACACCUGACCUGCUAAGACUCUGGAAGAGCAUAUGAAGGAGGGAGCAGGGAGAACAGAAAGGUCUCUGCUCUGCUGUGACUUAUCCACUUGCCCCGUGACCCUGGGCAAGUUCCUCCCCCUGUGGACCUGGGUUCCUCAUAUGAAUGAUAGUCUACAUUCCUUCUACCUCGAGUGACAUGAUUACAGAAGAGAAGGGGAGACUUCAGCACAGACACUGGAGGGUAGGAUUAAAAGCACCAGCUUUGGGCGCCUGGAUGGCUCAGUU